UACGUAGGCAGCAAGCGUUGUUCGGAUUUACUGGGCGUAAAGCGCGUGUAGGCGGCUUUGCAAGUCGGAUGUGAAAGCCCACGGCUCAACCGUGGAAGUGCAUCCGAAACUGCAUGGCUGGAGUCCCGGAGAGGAAGGUGGAAUGCUUGGUGUAGAGGUGAAAUUCGUAGAUAUCAAGCAGAACACCUGCGGCGAAGGCGGCCUUCUGGACGGUGACUGACGCUGAGACGCGAAAGCGUGGGGAGCAAACAGG
rnacentral:rRNA from 1 species